rnacentral:rRNA from 1 species
GCCUAAAGCGUCCGUAGCCGGCUUUGUAAGUUUUCGGUUAAAUCUAUAUGCUCAACAUAUAGGCUGCCGGAAAUACUGUAAAGCUAGGGAGUGGGAGAGGUAGACGGUACUCCGUAGGAAGGGGUAAAAUCCUUUGAUCUAUGGAUGACCACCUGUGGCGAAGGCGGUCUACCAGAACACGUUCGACGGUGAGGGAUGAAAGCUGGGGGAGCAAACCGGAUUAGAUACCCGGGUAGUCCCAGCUGUAAACUAUGCAAACUCAGUGAUGCAUUGGCUUGUGGCCAGUGCAGUGCCGCAGAGAAGUCGUUAAGUUUGCCGCCUGGGAAGUACGUACGCAAGUAUGAAACUUAAAGGAAUUGGCGGGGGAGCACCACAAGGGGUGAAGCCUGCGGUUCAAUUGGAGUCAACGCCAGAAAUCUUACCCGGAGAGACAGCAGGAUGAAGGUCAAGCUGAAGACUUUACCAGACAAGCUGAGAAGUGGUGCAUGGCCGUCGCCAGCUCGUGCCGUGAGGUGUCCUGUUAAGUCAGGUAACGAGCGAGAUCCUUGCCUCUAGUUGCCACCACUACUCUCAGGAGUAGUGGGGCGAAUUAGCGGGACUGCCGUAAUUAAUACGGAGGAAGGAGAGGGCCACGGCAGGUCAGUAUGCCCCGAA